AGUGGGGAGGAUCACUAAGCUUUAUUUUCAGACGAAGAUUAAGCAUCAAUAAACAAGUGAAUUCUUCACACAAAAAACACUUCCUAAAGAAGUUUAGUAUUUGCAAUUUGCAAGUUAAGUUUCAUGACUAAGCUAGUAAGCUUUGUGAAAGAAAACAAUUUAUUAAGAGUAUUUUUCAUUUCAAUUGACUCGUUAAACUCGCUGUGUUCAAUUUAAUCUCCACAUAAUAAUAUCCGAGGCAAAAUUUGUAAAAUCAUCUUAGUAUUUUGUAUUUUUUUUUAUGGAAAAUGCUAAAUAGUGUCCAGAGGCAUUGGUUAAGAAUUUAAAUUUAGAAGGUUUUUAUUGAGUAUUGUGUAGUCAAUACAUGAAAAGUCUAAAUUUUGAUUGUUUCAAUGCAUAACUUUUCCUUUAUUUCUUUUUUUAGCUCCUUAACUAGUGUGCCGGGGACACUAGUUAGCAAGACUUUUUUUUAUAAUUGCAUUGCAUUACAUACUUUAAAAGUC
rnacentral:lncRNA from 1 species